CCUAAGCACAGGUAUUCCAUCUCCAUAGCGUAUAUUAAAGUUGUUGCAGUUAAAAAGCUCGUAGUUGGAUUUCUGUUAAUAAUUUAUAUAAAAUAUUUUGAUGAAUAUUUAUAUAAUAUUAACAUAAUUCAUAUUACUAUUUUUUUUAUUAUAUAAAAAAUUUCUUUGAGAAAAAUUUAGUGCUUCAAGCAGGCGGCUUCCUCGUAUACUCCCCCAUGGAAUAAUAAUAAAAAUUUUUUUCUUUUUUAUUGGUGCUAAAAAAAAAAUAAUGAUUAAUAAGGGCGGCUGGGGGCGUCUUUUUUUUACAACCGGAGGUGGAAAUUUUUUUUUUGUUGAAAACAACAUACUGCGGCAGCAUUUUCCGCGGAGGUUUUUUUUUUUUUAAACAACAAAAAAUAGGGGGGCGACGACAACAAGCUACCCCCCGUCGUAUUAAAAAAAAAAAAUAUUCCCCCUAAAGAUUGGGGGGGGUUUUUUACUUCUCUCACCCUCCCU
rnacentral:rRNA from 1 species